rnacentral:rRNA from 1 species
UACGGAGGGAGCAAGCGUUGUUCGGAAUUACUGGGCGUAAAGCGCACGUAGGCGGCGAGUCAAGUCAGAGGUGAAAGCCCGGGGCUCAACCCCGGAACUGCCUUUGAAACUAGAUUGCUAGAAUCCUGGAGAGGCGAGUGGAAUUCCGAGUGUAGAGGUGAAAUUCGUAGAUAUUCGGAAGAACACCUGUGGCGAAGGCGACUCGCUGGACAGGUAUUGACGCUGAGGUGCGAAAGCGUGGGGAGCAAACAGG